rnacentral:lncRNA from 1 species
UAAAUAUUAAAUGAUAAUCUGAUUAUGACAAUUAAGAACAUACAUUAUGAAUAAGGUAAAAUGUCACUAAUUAGCUAACGAAGUGAAAAAUGUCACUCAAUGUCCAAACUGAGAAUUAAAUGCAUAUCAAAGCAUGUUGAUUUUAAGUCCUGGAUACGAAAUGUAAAUAGAAACGAAAUUAUAAAAUAUAGUGAAUUAUAAAACACAG